rnacentral:rRNA from 1 species
GAUCAUGGCUCAGGAUGAACGCUAGCUACAGGCUUAACACAUGCAAGUCGAGGGGAAACGAUAUUGGAAGCUUGCUUCCGAUAGGCGUCGACCGGCGCACGGUGAGUAACGCGUAUCCAACCUGCCCAUCACUUGGGGAUAACCUUGCGAAAGUAAGACUAAUACCCAAUGACGUCUCUAGAAGACAUCUGAAGGAGAUUAAAGAUUUAUCGGUGAUGGAUGGGGAUGCGUCUGAUUAGCUUGUUGGCGGGUAACGGCCCACCAAGGCGACGAUCAGUAGGGGUUCUGAGAGGAAGGUCCCCCACAUUGGAACUGAGACACGGUCCAAACUCCUACGGGAGGCAGCAGUGAGGAAUAUUGGUCAAUGGACGAGAGUCUGAACCAGCCAAGUAGCGUGAAGGAUGAAGGUCCUACGGAUUGUAAACUUCUUUUAUAAGGGAAUAAACCCUCCCACGUGUGGGAGCUUGUAUGUACCUUAUGAAUAAGCAUCGGCUAACUCCGUG